UCCGAAAGGGGCUAGCGUUGUUCGGAAUUACUGGGCGUAAAGCGCACGUAGGCGGCCUUUUAAGUCGGGGGUGAAAUCCCGGGGCUCAACCCCGGAACUGCCUUUGAUACUGGGAAGCUAGAGGAUGGGAGAGGCGAGUGGAAUUCCGAGUGUAGAGGUGAAAUUCGUAGAUAUUCGGAAGAACACCAGUGGCGAAGGCGACUGGCUGGACCAUUUCUGACGCUGAGGUGCGAAAGCGUGGGGAGCAAACAGG
rnacentral:rRNA from 1 species